CCGGGGCUAACGCUUUAAUGCGAUCCGGCGAAGCAGAGGAGAGGAGCGGUAGCGAGAGAGAUGGUUGCCUUGCGAUUAUCUUCAAGGUACCUAUCUGGUGAAACACAGAAGGGAAAUGACAAGACAAACCUAUAUCAAAAUGAAAACAACAUUAAACGAUGGAGUCGGAGCAGGGCAGGGAGUAGUGCGUAACUCUACAUAUUAUGCUGAUAUACUGGGAGAUUUUUUCCUGGGUAAAUUUUUCCCCUAAACAUUGACAGCCUGGAAAAUUGAAAGAAAAACAUACCAUCGAGAGAUCGGAACCGUUUCCCUUCUGUUCUGGAAAAAGUGCCACGUUAACCCUUUCGAUGCCUGCACCAGGCAGAACAAGCCAUUGACCUCUCAGACCUGGGAGCCGCAUCUGGGCAUCCCUUGCGGGGAACUUCGCAGGUUGGGGCGGAGGCGAAAGCUGGGCAGAGGUACUGACAGACCCAGUUCUCUGGCUACCGAACCACCACC